GAUGAACGCUAACGGCAGGCUUAACACAUGCAAGUCGAGGGGCAGCACGGGUAGCAAUACCUGGUGGCGACCGGCGCAAGGGUGCGUAACGCGUGAGCAACAUGCCCGUAUCAGGGGAAUAAUCCAGGGAAACUUGGUCUAAUACCCCAUAGAAAAUAUUAAAGGCAUCUUUAAUAUUUUAAAGCUUUGGUGGAUAUGGAUUGGCUCGCGUGACAUUAGCUAGAUGGUAAGGUAACGGCUUACCAUGGCUACGAUGUCUAGGGGUUCUGAGAGGAAGAUCCCCCACACUGGAACUGAGACACGGUCCAGACUCCUACGGGAGGCAGCAGUGAGGAAUAUUGGACAAUGGAUGGAAAUCUGAUCCAGCCAUGCCGCGUGCAGGAAGACGGCCCUAUGGGUUGUAAACUGCUUUUAUAUGGGAGCAAUAAGGCCUACGUGUAGGUUGAUGAGAGUACCAUAUGAAUAAGCACCGGCUAACUCCGUGCCAGCCGCCGCCGUAAUAC
rnacentral:rRNA from 1 species